UUGGCUAUUUAUCCCUCGAGGACAAUGUUGCCCUAAGACAUAAUAAAACCUCUGCUUUUCAGCUUCUUGAAAUGAUAGAUCUCUCACUAAAUCAUGCAUUUUGCAGUACUUUAUAUUCCCAACUGCCCCCAACUUAUGAACUAGAAUGAGGUUUCUAUCGACUAGCUCCUUCAGAUACUCUCUGGCAAUUGUUUUCGAGCUUUUAUUGAUUAUUGGUUUAAGAAAGCCUUCAGAAACCCAUAACCUCAUGAGUUCUGCAACCUAAUUUCCUCAUCUUCCCCAAACAUCCCCAUGUACAAAAAACAAGGCUUCAGAUAGGCAGGCAAAUGGUCAUAGCUCAGUUUCAAUACUCUCAAGCAAUAUUCAUCAUUUUCCGAAUUCACUAUUGAGCUUAAGUUUUUCUCUAUGCGCUCCCAAUAUUCCGGUGUAAGUUCGGACUUUGCCAAAAGACCCCCAAUCACAGCAAUCGACAAAGGAAGUCCCUUACACUUCCCCACAAUUUUCUUUCCGAUUUCCUCGAGAUGAAGAGGAAAACCCUCAUCCCCAAAUACAGUUUUGGAGAACAAACUCCAGCUACAAACAUCAUCUAAAAAUCUCAUACCAAUGCUGUUAGAGUUUGUCAACUCAGUAGCCAAGUUUGAGAGCCUAGUCGUUACGAUUACUCGACUCCCAUCAUUGUAAUCGGGAAAGAAACCUAUCUUGUCCCACACCUCUAACUCCACAUAUCAUCCAGUAUUAUAAUACCUCCUACGCAUAAAUACUUUCAAUUUUUCUCCAAUCUCUCACUCAGAUCACUACCCAAAUUCCACUACUUGGUGAAGAACUUCUCUAAGUGUUUCUCUAACAUUAUAAGUUUGAGAAAUUGUAGUCCACGCACGAAUAUCAAAAUGCUCCUUAACAAGGGCAUGCUCAAAUAUAUGUCGGGCGAGAGUGGUCUUACCAAUCCCGCCCAUCCCUGUGAUUGGGAUGAUUUGGCGGUUACGGUUGCCUCCAGUGAGCCAAUCCAAGAGUUGAAGUUGCACGUCAUCAAACCCCACCAUCUUGCUUUCCUUCACAUUGGAAGAGGAUGUCAAGGAGCCAGCAUGAGUCGAGGAGACCUUUCUCUGCAGCUGAGCUUCGGCUGCAGUCUCCAUGGCUUCCUUCUUGAUCACAUUCAUUUCUUCAAUCACUUGCUGUAGAUCUUGAUAGAAGUCGUUGCAACUGAAUUCCUCUCUAGAAUUCACUUCUUCAGCCGCAUGAGCUGCAUCUACAACAUAGCCUUGGAGAAAUAUCUGUAAGAAGGUAAAAGUUUGGGUUAGAGAUUGAUUUCUUCUAUCACUUAUUGUAGAUCUUGAUAGAAGUUGAUGAAACUGACUUCCUCUCUAGAAUUUUCUGCAAUAGGCAUCUCCAACAGAUCUGCUACAUCGGUGUAGUCAGAAGAGGUGUCACAGCAUUCGAAAAGUUCCUGUAAGAAGGUAACAAUUGAAGUUAGAGAUUCAUUUCUUCUAUCACUUGUUGUAGAUCUUGAUACAAGUUGAUGAAACUGACUUCGUUGGAACUACCCAGUUUAAUCACAUCCACAAUAUGUGACUCGAUAACAUCUUCCACCGCAUGAGCUGCAUCUACAAUACGCAUCUCCAGCGGAUCAGCUUCAUCUCCGUCAGCAACAGGGGACUUAUAACCUUCAAGAAAUUCCUGCAAAAAGGUAACAAUUUGAGUGAGAGAUUCAACUUGUUGUUUGUCGAUACAAAUUGGAGGGGAAUGGUGGUGCUCGAUUGUAUCGAUGAUAUGCAUAAGAGAAACCAAGGCUGCAUAUGCCGCCAUGAUCCAAGGAAAAACAGUGUAUGUAUAUUUUUCUGAGAAAGAAUUUGAUGGAAUCUUAGUUUAGCUUCAGCAAAAACAAUGUGUAAAAUGGCUAUAUCAGAAACAUUAUUGUCAAACAGCUAAGAUAAGAUAUGUGGGUUGACCCCUAAAAAAAAAGAUAUGCACAUGAUAUGUGUUCUUGAAGUCAUUUAACUAUGCGCUGAUUUAAGUCUUUAAAAAAUAAUACUCCCUCCGUCCGCCAAAAGUAGACUACUUUGGCUGGGCACGGGAUUUAAUAAAAUUGGUGAUGAUUUUAAUGUAGUGGAGAAAGGGUCCCACCACUUUAUUAGAUGUGUGGUUGAGAUUGAAUUUGGGGUGGUUUUUUUGUAAAUAAAGAGUUUUUGUAAGGAUAAAAGAUUAAAGUGGGUGGUGGGACCAUUUCCAUAAAAGGAAAGUGGUAUACUCUUUGCGGACGCCCAAUAUAGUAAAAAUGGUCUACUUUUGGCGGACGGAGGGAGUAUAUGAGUAGGUGAGUGAUGUUGAUUUCCAUGUUCUAAUUCAUGCAUCGAUGAAUAAACUAUGAUUAAUGAUGCUCAAGCUGAUUGGUAUAUUCACCUUAAUUAGAAAUUUCCGAAUAGCUUGAAGACAGUGGGUAGAUUUGUACAAGAAUUAUAAGUAGAGAAAACAACAUGCAAGUCGUCAAGUUGGAAUAAAAUAUUAAAUUUAGAAAGAAAAAAAAAAUAGCAAGUUGGGAAAUGUUGUCAUAUUCCAUUUGUUUUGUUUGAAUCUAAUUGAUAUUUUGAAAUGUUUAUUUUCUUGUUUUGUUUUAAUGCUGCGGUAUUUCACACUCCAAAUCCGAUAGUAUUUCUGCAAUCAUUCUAAUCUCAUUAGCUUACACCCCACCAACAACAACAAAUCCGAUGGUGAGUUGAUGCUUUCUAAUUCUCUCUCGCUAUGUUGCCACUUUGGAUCUCUUUGCUAGUCUGUUUCUUGUUCCAAACAAAACCUAUGGUGGCAACAAUCUUAUGGGCUUAAGCAUGGCCCAACAAAAUAGCUAUACAAGGAAAUAACAGCCCAUUUAAGUAGUAUAUCGUGUGGGCCUUGGGAUUUCUCUACGCGGACGACUUUGGGCUAGGCUUGGCUCUUCCUCCUCAUGCACAGUAAUAGGUUAGGCGUCUUCGGGUUGAGGUUUAGUGCACGGGCUCGUAUCAACUCCCCCACCCACCCUCGAAAAGCACCUUGUCCUCAAGGUGAAAAUCUGGAAAAGUAUGGCGAAAUGAAUCGAGAGGCUCCCACGUGGCAGCAUCCGUCCCAUUGCACUAAGACUUGAGGGUCAGGACGACCGUUGAGGAAAAUGGUGCGGGUUGCGACAACAACAGUAGGAACCAAAUGCGGAAGAGACCAUCCGAAGCAACUGGGAGUGGAGUAAUUGGAGUAGAAGCAGUACCAACAAAUGGCUUGAGCAACGAGACAUGGAAAACAGGGUGGAUACGGCUCCCCGAUGGCCAGUCCAGACGAUAAGCAACAACCCCAAUUUUCUCAAGAAUUGUGUAAGGACCAAAGUAACGUUUGGCAAGCUUAGGAAUAGGGCGACGAGAGACGGAAACCUAGCAAUAAGGCUAGAGUUUCACCCAGACAAGAUCACCUACACUGAAGGAAGUAUCGCGAUGAUGCUUGCUAGCAUGCUGCUGCAUGCGGUGUUGAGCCGACAAUAAGGAAGCUUUCAAUUCCUCUAGAAGACCAUCUCGCUCAACAAGUAAAGCAUCCAAGGCAUCAACCGAGGUGGAGCAAGGUGUGUAACGAGGAAUAACCGGCGGAAGACGACCAUAUACGACCUGAAAAGGGCUCAUAAGAACGCUAGAAUGAUAGCUCGUGUUGUAAUUAAACUCAGCCCACCUUAAAAAAUCAAACCAAACCAACGAGCAGAGUGGUCAGACCUCAUAGCGCGGAGAUAUUGUUCCAAACAACGAUUGACAACCUCGGAUUGGCCAUCCGUUUAUGGAUGAUGUGCCGAGCUAUGCUUGAGCGAAGUGCCGCUAAGUUUAAAGGGUUCGGACCAAAAACGGCUCAUGAAGGUUGGCUCACGAUCCGAAAUAAUUGAUGAGGGAAAACCAUGAAACUUAACCACCAUAUUGGUGAAAAGGCGAGCCACUUUACUAGCUGUAAACCCGGCAUGAAGGGGACCAAAGUGGGCGGCUUUGGUGAGGCGAUCUACGACAACUAGUAUCACCGAAAACCCAUGAGAGACUGGCAAAUUGGUAAUGAAAUCCAUAGUGGGCUCAUUCCAAACCAACGCAGGGAUGGGCGGCGGUUGGAGAAGACCAGCGGGAGCAGAGGUAAGGGUUUUAAUCUGCUGGCAGGUGGUACAAGCACGGACAAAGGCCUCCACGUCGCGGCGCAUGUGCGGCCAAUAAAAAAGGGCAGAGAGGCCAACUAAGGUUUUCUUAAUUCCACCGUGGCCGCCAACCGGAGAGCAAUGAAACUCUUGGAGCAAUUGGUGCUUAAGGGGAGAUGACGGUGGAAGGAAGUACUUACGGCGAUAAGUGAGAAGCCCGUCGAUGGAGGCAUAAUCGGUAGAGAGUUCAUUCGACAAUAGCUUGUGAUGGUAGGAGAGAAAGCAUCUUCGGCAUCUUUCUACAACGUCCAGCAAUCCAACGGCCUGCCCAUGGGCCUUUUCCCCAAGGGCAUGCUUUAUCUCCGGCGUCUUCGAGCUCCGCAUGCUAUCCGCCUCGCCGUGCGACGCCAAAUUUGAGACGCCGCUGAGGUACCAGUGCAACAUUACGGGCAGGCUCAGCUACGGCCAGGUUUCUGAUCUGUCCGGCGUCGCUGCCCAGGAUCUCUUCCUGUGGCUGCCCGUGAAGAGCAUUCGCGUCGAUAUUCCCAGCUCCGGCCUCAUUUACUUCGACGUUGGCACAUGGUGUUCAAGCAGUUCUCUCUGUCCUUCUUCGAGACGCCCAAGGAAUGUAAUGCCUUGCCUGGGGAUGGCGAAAGCGAUGAUUUCGUGGUUCUCUUCCACAACGGCGGUGCUGCAAAUCGUGCUGUUGAGGUUUGUUGCAUUGUUUGUGAAUGAGCAUUUGGAAUUGGGGUAACUGGUCGCGGGAAUUUAGGUUUGAUGCUAUUUGGUUCAUUUAUGGUGAGAUUUGGAUGAUAAAAUUGAGAGUUUUUGCUGUGAAAAUGUAAAUUCACAAAUACUCAUAUGCAAUCGGUUGCACCGUGCAACUAAUUUUCAGAAUGACACUACUUCAUUCGGGAAAUAACACUUGAACAUUUCCGAAUGACACUACUUCAACAUACAAAUGACACUUCAAGUGUCAUUUGUAUGUUAAAGUAGUGUCUUUCAGAAACCAGUUGCACAGGAGAGUGUCUCAUGUAAAUUAUAGUCAUUUUCUAGGUUUGGGAAUUUUUUUUGUCUCAAGAAGGAUGAGUCAUUUCAUCGAAUUCUUAAGAUUUAGAUUUUUUUUUGUGGUCUUUAAGAAGGAUGAGUAAUUUCGAGGCACUUUAUUUCUAUUGAAAGAUGAUAUGUUAUCUUGUUUUCUCAUCAAAGGCGCAGGGUAAAUUGGCGAAGAUGGUAUGAGUUGUAAAGUUGUUGCGAAUUGUUGUUCCAUCGCCCCCUUCUUCUGUGUCGAUGUAGGUAUGGUGUUCCUUAUAGUUUCUUGGAUUUGUUGUAUUGAAAUUGUUGAUCUUGUAUAUCAAAGUUGGUGAGGAUUCAUCUAAACAACAUUCUUUUUGUCAAUGUAUAUGGGGUUUGUAUUUUUGCUUGUUUUGUUUGGAUUACUCAGAAUUCCAUCUCUAGAAUUAUUGCACACUAGUGUUGUAUCCCGCUAGAUGCACGACAUGAACAUCUUUUAGUAAUAUUUCGUGUAUAGUAAUAGAAUAGACAAGAGAGAGAGAGAGAGUAUUCAGAUGUGUAAUAUAAUAACUAAUUUAUUUUUAUGAAGACAAAUAAUUAUAAUUUGAAAUAUAAUAUCUUAGGCAACUAAGAAUAUUAUGUUGCCCAUCAAAUAGUAAAUACUCUUUAUUUGACUGCAUCCUAACAUUCUUAGUUUUUUGAUUUUGAUAAAUAAAAUAUUUGAAGUCAUUCAAAUAUCUAACAUAUACAUUGCACGCAAUUAAUAAUUUUUUGUCUUCUGAAAAUCAACUUGAGUUAAUGUUGUUUGAGUAUCAUAAAUUAUAAUUCUCCAUAAGAAAUCUAACAAAAAAAUUUACAUUAUCAAUUUAACGCUCAACUAUAUUUAUGUUGACACCAUCCAAAAAUAAAAUAAAUAAAUAAGAGUGCAAAAAAUAAUGAUGUUAUAAUUUAUAUGACUACAAUUUUAGAUGCAUAAAUAUAUAUUUCAUAUCAAAAUUCAUGUUGCUAACUUGUAGUCCAAAUCCUCAUAUUUACACUAUUUAUUUUAAAUAUUUAAUUGUUUAUAUUGAAUCAAUUUGACGUGACUUUUGGGGUAAAUUUUUAGAACAUAAUUAUUUUCUUAGAGCAUAGCAAACACGAAAAUGGAAGCCUCCGGCAAAAUCGAAGAAAUAUCCAUGUGCAUGGCCAGGUAUCGAGACACCGGCGGCAAGUCCUCUAAGGAGGCACAAGCACCGGUGCGUAUGUUGCUUUUGAUAGCUUGACCGCUCCUUUUCCUGCAGGGGAAAGAUCAGUUAAGCAAACCGAAACAACAUAUGCAUCAGUGUUUCGUGCCUUCUUAGAGGACUUGUCGGUCUCUUGAAUUCCUGACCAUGAACACUGACUGUAUCACUGAAAAAGAUGGUAGAGGAACAAGAGGAGAUCCAUCCUUUCAUGUUCUAUUAGGUAAUUUGAGCUCAGUCAAAAACUUUAUUUUGUUGGAUUGGAACUUUGAGCCCUUUAUUUUUAUCAUUUAAAUUAAUUUUGUUUGAUUUUUAUUUUAUAGAAAAAGGCGGGAUUGGAGUAAUCCCAUCGUUGAGGAUAAAAAUACUCAAUCAUCCAUUUUAUUAAUCGUGCAAAGUAAACGCCCCCUAAAGUUCAAUCUCUCAUAGCUUCACAUCUUCAUCCCAUGGCACAAUUAAUUUCUUGCUUAAUUUUAAUUGUUUGUACAUUUAGCAAGACAAAUCUUGUUUUUAGUAUUUAGUUUUAAUAAUGGGCAAAUAGCAUCAAAAUCCUUAUACUUUCCCCGUUUUCGCAUAUUUCCCCUUACUUUAAAAAUUCGCGAUAGAAUCCUUGACCGUUGAUUAAUUUCGUAAUUUUCCCUUAAUAAAGUUUCCAGUGAGUAACUACAAUGACGUGUCAUUUAUGUGGCAUUAUUUUGCUGAGUCAUCUAACUAAGUUUGCUUAGUCACGUAAAACAGCCAAAAACGUCGUCGUUUUCCCGAUUACUAAGCUGCCGCUGUCCAAAUCCGCCGGUUUGACUCCCAACCACAUGCUCCGGCGGCUUAUUCAGGCGUGGUGCGUCGCCAAUGUGAAGAGCAGGAUCGAUAGGAUCCCGACUCCCAAGUCCCCCCUCCACCGCUCCGCCGUCAUCAAGCUCAUCCGCACUGCGGGCAGCCGGCGGAGCAGAUCGGAGAAUCUCGAGGCCCUAAGCAAAUUGGAGGAGCUCGUUGGCGACAAAGACAGUAAGAAUCAGCAGUGCAUGGCGGAGGCCGGCGCCGCCAAAUAGAUGAUUCUUAUGUGAUGAAAUGUUUCGACGACGGCUGACUUGGUCCCCCACGGCGGAGAACAAGCAGAUCGUUGAAGAAAAAAACCCUCAAUUUUUUCAAUCGAUUAUGUGGAUUUUGAACGGCAAAUUAGAAAUUUCAGCCAAGACUGAUGCCCUAAUUGUACUAUAAAUGCCAUAGAAGUGACGAGUUCGAAUUUUUUGGAGAAAUUGAAGCCGUGUUUCUUUAAAGAGAUGAUGAGAAUUUUGAGGUCGCAGACGGCACCGGCGGUGAGGGCAGUUCUAAAAAUUCUGAUCCGGAAACGACGAUGUUUUACGUUAUUAAGUAAAAUUACGUCGCUUAAUACGCCGAAAUUUAAUCCUACGUGGAUUUCCAGACUCCAUGUCAGCAUUCUAUAAAUCGCCGAUCAUUUUUUAGGGAGAAACGCGAACGGGAUUUCAAGUCAAGGAUUCUAUCGCGAAUUUUUAAAGUCAGGGGAAAUAUGCGAAAGCGGGGAAAGUAUAGGGAUUUUGACGCUAUUUGCCCUUUAAUAAUUUGUUUAAAGCAUUUAAAAGAUUGAGCCAUGUUUUAUCUUGCUAAAAAUAAAAAUAAUUACAAAUAAGCAAAAUACAAAGUUAUAAGGAAAAAUAUAUAGUGUGUUUUUGCGAAGCGUGGGAUUUUUUAUUUAUUUGUAUUUUCUUUUUUUAUUUGGAUUUAGGAUUUGAGAAUUGAGGAUUGAACUCCAAUAAUUUAGGUAACUAAGAAGAUGAAUAGAAAAGAUUUGUGAUAAAUUAAUUAAUUUAUUAGUAAAAUAAAAAGAAAGCCAUAUAUGAUCCGGCGCUUAGAAGAAGGAAGAGAGAGAUUGAAAAUUAAUCACUCAAAUUAGUAUUCCCACAAUUCAAUUCCUCAUCACAUCAAACUACCAUUUGAUUACACGAAAGUUGGGAGUUGCCAAGCUCUGCAAUUCUUGGCUGACGUUGGAUGACUUAACUAGAACAUGAAUGGAUGGCUCUCCUUGUAAUUCCUCUUGUUCCUCUACUAUCUUUUUCAAAGACACGACCAUUGAUUCACUGCAAUACCAUAAUUCAAUGUAUUUGAGUGUUGUUAUUUCUCCAAUUUCUGAAGGGAACUCCUCCAAACACUUCAUCCACCCGAGAUGAAGUUGCUCAAGGCGUGGCAAGCAGGAGCCCUCUAACGUCCAACAUUCCAUAUCCUUACACGCAUACAAUUUCAAGUAUUUGAGGCUGGGGAAUUGGGCUUCAACUAUUUCCCAUCUGCGUGUUGCAAACUGCCCAGACACCAGUUGGAGCUUCUCAAGAUGUGGUAAUGAACCUAUCUUUUCCAGAAUUUCCUCCAAAUGGAACAACUUUCCGCAUUGAAGUGACAGCUUCUUGAGUGAGAGCGGGAAGCUAAUACUCUGCAGAUACUCAGCAUCACUUCCAACAUCAAUAAUGCACGCCAAGCUUUCCAGCUUACUCAGAUAGCUGAGGCACUUCACUCUCUCCAUUACUUUAAGCAGGUACAUUAUAAACAGUUUCUUGAUAUUGGGAAUUAUCUUAACCAUUCUUCAUUCAAGUUGAAAUCAAGCACUCCUUUGAGCGUCUCUAGAUUCUUCAUCAUAACAUCACUAUGCCCGCUCCGAGGAUCUGGGAGAAACAUUCCUGGAGAUCCGAACUCGACAUGCUUAAGCUGAUGCAUUUUCCAAAUUUCUACUGGUGCAGUUGUAGGUUCACCACCCCAAAUGGAAACAAUUAGUGUGUGUAGAUUCCACAGCAGACUAAUUGAAGAAGGGAUUUGGAACCCCUUACGAAAUUCACCCGAAAGGUACCUCAAGUUCACCAAUUGAAACACAUUUUCUUCUAUAUACCCUCUGGAAUCCUUAUCUGUAGUCAAUGUCCUCAAAAAUCUGAAAUCUAGCGAUUCUGGAACCGUAUCAGCAUGACAUAUGAAAGAACGAGCACGUGACGACAUAGUUUCCAUGGCAUCAUUGACUGUCGUAUCUGAAGUGCUUUUGGGAAUAACAAUGCGGCGUAGGCUAUUUAUCCCUCGAGGACAAUGUUGUCCUAAGACAUAAUAAAACCUCUGCUUUUCAGCUUCUUUAAAUAGAUCUCUCAGUAAAUCAUGCAUUUUGCAGACUUAAUAUUCCCAAGUUUCCCCAACUCAUGAACUAGAAUGAGGUUUCUAUCGACUAGCUCCUUCAAAUACUCCUUGGCAAUUGUUUUCGAGCUUUUAUUGAUUAUUGGUUUA
rnacentral:lncRNA from 1 species